UCAUUCCUUUCUUUCUGUCUCUUGUUCAAGUUCGAAUCCUUUGUGUUUGCUUAGCUAGUUUAAAUAUACAGUUUACUAAUAUGGCAUGUAAUCUCAUCAUGUUUGCAAUGCAUGAAACAACGUACAGUAGCAGCAGGAAAUAGAGCCAGAGCUUCAGCACAGGAUAUUCAUCAAAGUUAUAAGAUCACAAGAAUGGGGAAGGGAGCAUCAAGUUUAGUCACAGAUGAGGAGUCAGAGAGACAAGUACCAACCGGACCAGA